rnacentral:lncRNA from 1 species
AUGUCUCUCGUCCGUACACGUUUUGUUGGCCACCUUCGUGAUGUCAGAAGAUUGAUUGUUGCAAUGUCCCGUGCGCGUCUGGGUCUUUAUGUUUUUUGUCGACGUUCUCUUUUUGAACAAUGCUAUGAACUUCAACCGACAUUUCGGCUUCUUUUAGAGAGACCUGACCACCUCGCCGUCAAUGUUGAUGAGGCAACAUCCCUGACAAAUCGUCCUGUUGGAGAAACUGGAACAAUCAGUCUUGUUAGUGGCAAUGUUAUGAACUUCAACCGACGUUUCGGCUUCUUUUAGAGAGACCUGACCACCUCGGCCUCAAUGUUGAUGAGGCAACAUCCAUGACAAAUCGCCCUGUUGGAGAACCUGGACCAGUCAGUCUUGUUAGUGGACCUGAGGAAAUGCAGGGAAUUGUGAAUUUCAAGAUGCAUCAGGUCUAUCAGGUAUCUUCUCUCUAACUGCAGUAUAUGGAUGAUAAUUUUUGCAUGACAUAUUUGGAAGCUUGAACUUGCUAGCUUAGUCUUGUGGAUUUGAUUCAAAACCUUGUCAAUGGGAAUAGUUUGAUGUCUUUUAUGUUGAUAUCUUGGGGAUACACUGGUUAAAAGAAGGGAUAUGGUGGUGUUGCUAAUUACACAUUUUGCUUUAUUUUGUAUGAGUUUCUUCCCAGGUCACCGAGAAAGAGUAAUAUACUAUUGGAUGGUGUAACAUACUGUGACAUGCUUGAGUGUCUUGUGAAAUCUAGACACAUAUAUUGAUUAAAAGAUGGUUCAUGUUGGUGCAGUCCCCUGUCAACAUGAAAUUCUAGAGAUGCUGUAAAUGUCAUGGAACUAAUUUUCAUCUCUUGUUUCUGUAGUUUAAGACAUUAGUUUCCUUCUUUUAUGUCUUCUGCUCAACUCUACACCUGAGAGGCCUCUUCACGUCUCAAUGUUGCCUAGAUACUUCUUAAUUUACAGCUUUUAUGCACAUAUUAUGUUUCUGAAGGGGGUUGCAUUGGAGCAACGUAAAGUUGUAAAGUUCUUUGUGUGAUUUAUAGAUCACGGGUUUGAGCCGAGCCACUGAUGCUUGUAUUAGGGUAGGCUGCCUACAUUACAUACUUUCGGGUGUGGCCCAUCCCCGGGCUCUCUGUGAACGCAGAUGCUUUUUGCACUGGCCUGCCCUUUUUUUCUUUGAAAUCUAGUAAAGUGCAUGCACAAAUUUUUUAUCAUGGUAUUUUUAAAGAAGCCUUACAUUUUUCAUAAUUUGGUGCUCGACUUGUUCCUGUAUCUUCUGCACAGGCACGGAUGAUGAGCCAUAUUGAGUAUCCUUCUUAUCCAGAAUCUGUUCCCCUGCAAAGUGUGGAGCAGAAUGCAAUGCCCC